CAGCAAGGCAGAAAAACAUGAAUACUGCUUAAAAUCGGCUCCUUUCAGAUCUACACGGGUGUCUAGAGACAGUACUGGCUAGGAGCUGAUCAGGUGUGUGUAGAGAAAGUACUGGCUAGGGGCUGAUCAGGUGUGUGUAGAGAAAGUACUGGCUAGGGGCUAAUCAGGUGUGUCUAGAGACAGUACUGGCUAGGGGCUGAUCAGGUGUGUGUAGAGAAAGUACUGGCUAGGGGCUAAUCAGGUGUGUCUAGAGACAGUACUGGCUAGGGGCUGAUCAGGUGUGUGUAGAGACAGUACUGGCUAGGGGCUGAUCAGGUGUGUGUAGAGACAGUACUGGCUAGGGGCUGAUCAGGUGUGUGUAGAGACAGUACUGGCUAGGGGCUGAUCAGGUGUGUGUAGAGACAGUACUGGCUAGGGGCUGAUCAGGUGUGUGUAGAGACAGUACUGGCUAGGGGCUGAUCAGGUGUGUGUAGAGACAGUACUGGCUAGGGGCUGAUCAGGUGUGUGUAGAGACAGUACUGGCUAGGGGCUGAUCAGGUGUGUGUAGAGACAGUACUGGCUAGGGGCUGAUCAGGUGUGUGUAGACAGUACUGGCUAGGGGCUGAUCAGGUGUGUGUAGAGACAGUACUGGCUAGGGGCUGAUCAGGUGUGUGUAGAGACAGUACUGGCUAGGGGCUGAUCAGGUGUGUGUAGAGACAGUACUGGCUAGGGGCUGAUCAGGUGUGUGUAGAGACAGUACUGGCUAGGGGCUGAUCAGGUGUGUGUAGAGACAGUACUGGCUAGGGGCUGAUCAGGUGUGUGUAGAGACAGUACUGGCUAGGGGCUGAUCAGGUGUGUGUAGAGACAGUACUGGCUAGGGGCUGAUCAGGUGUGUGUAGAGACAGUACUGGCUAGGGGCUGAUCAGGUGUGUGUAGAGACAGUACUGGCUAGGGGCUGAUCAGGUGUGUGUAGAGACAGUACUGGCUAGGGGCUGAUCAGGUGUGUGUAGAGACAGUACUGGCUAGGGGCUGAUCAGGUGUGUGUAGAGACAGUACUGGCUAGGGGCUGAUCAGGUGUGUGUAGAGACAGUACUGGCUAGGGGCUGAUCAGGUGUGUGUAGAGACAGUACUGGCUAGGGGCUGAUCAGGUGUGUGUAGAGACAGUACUGGCUAGGGGCUGAUCAGGUGUGUGUAGAGACAGUACUGGCUAGGGGCUGAUCAGGUGUGUGUAGAGACAGUACUGGCUAGGGCUGAU